rnacentral:lncRNA from 1 species
GUAAGAAGUGAAGUUUAACACAGCUCCAAAAAGAGAUGGAGGCAGAAAGCAAACCCGGGGCAACACUGCCCUCAUGUGGCCAUCCCUGGGCAUUGCACCCGGGCCCUGCAGUCACAGUUGCAUACAGUUAGGAGAAAUGCGAGGCAAACAAGGUAUGCUGGAAACAACAUUGGAUCUCCAUGACAAACAAGGGACCUAUAUUCUAAGGUAACGUCUAUCCCUAACUUACUGUAUGACUGUGGACAAAUUACUUCACUUUUCCUCAGCCUCAGUUUCCUCACUUAUUAAAUGAGAAUAAUCCUUGCUUUGGCUAUUUUGUGGGAUAUUGGAAGUCUCAAAAGUGAUCACAGAUAAGGGGAAUGUUUUGAAAACUGUGAAAUGCUAUGCAAUCAGGGAGUUCUAAUGAUAGGCCACUUAUGGGCCCAGUUCAUUAGCCUUACUCUGUUCCCCAGUCUUACAAGGGAGUUCUAAUUCCACCUGGCCACUGAUCACAUUGGAGCACAUUUAAUUUAAGCCACAUCCAAGAGUGCUGGACCCAGCUUAAACCAUUUUGUGAAGAGUCCAUUGUCAAAUUUUCAGUGUGAGCAUUUAUAUCCUGGAAAUCUAGCGCUAUAAUUAAGGUAUGAUUUAUCGUUUUGUUGAUUGUCUGGAGUCCAGACCUAAGAAGUGAUAGAGAAAAUGUUAAUUACACUAAUCAAAUAUAAAAGUAUGUUGUAUAGACUGUAGGCAGCUAAGUGUCACCAUGGAUAGCGCAGUGGGCCUAGAGUCAGAAUGUGAGUUCAAAUUUGACCUCAGACACUUUUUAGUUGUGUGAUCCUCAGCAAGUCAUUCAAACUGUCUGCCUCAGUUUCCUCAACUGUAAAAUGGGGAUAAUAAUAGGCCCUAUCUCUAGAGGUUCUGUGAAGACCAAAUGAAAUAAUAUUUGUAAAGCACUUGGCACAUUAGUGCUUAAUAUAUACUUACUUGUUCCUCUUCUCUUUUUGCUAGCUUAUUUUUUCUCAGAAAGCUGGUUGUUAAAUGUUUAUCAGAACACUGCUCAACACUCCCAUGAGAAGACUGUUUUUGCAUAUGAAGAAGAGUAUUAUCCUAUGGAAGAAUGUGUUCUGAU